UACGGAGGGUGCAAGCGUUAUCCGGAUUCACUGGGUUUAAAGGGUGCGUAGGCGGGCAUUUAAGUCAGUGGUGAAAUCUUCGAGCUCAACUCGGAAACUGCCAUUGAUACUAUUUGUCUUGAAUAUUGUGGAGGUGAGCGGAAUAUGUCAUGUAGCGGUGAAAUGCUUAGAUAUGACAUAGAACACCGAUUGCGAAGGCA
rnacentral:rRNA from 1 species